rnacentral:rRNA from 1 species
AGAGUUUGAUCCUGGCUCAGAUUGAACGCUGGCGGCAGGCCUAACACAUGCAAGUCGAGCGGCAGCACGGGUACUUGUACCUGGUGGCGAGCGGCGGACGGGUGAGUAAUGCCUAGGAAUCUGCCUGGUAGUGGGGGAUAACGUUCGGAAACGAACGCUAAUACCGCAUACGUCCUACGGGAGAAAGCAGGGGACCUUCGGGCCUUGCGCUAUCAGAUGAGCCUAGGUCGGAUUAGCUAGUUGGUGAGGUAAUGGCUCACCAAGGCAACGAUCCGUAACUGGUCUGAGAGGAUGAUCAGUCACACUGGAACUGAGACACGGUCCAGACUCCUACGGGAGGCAGCAGUGGGGAAUAUUGGACAAUGGGCGAAAGCCUGAUCCAGCCAUGCCGCGUGUGUGAAGAAGGUCUUCGGAUUGUAAAGCACUUUAAGUUGGGAGGAAGGGCAUUUACCUAAUACGUAAGUGUUUUGACGUUACCGACAGAAUAAGCACCGGCUAACUCUGUGCCAGCAGCCGCGGUAAUACAGAGGGUGCAAGCGUUAAUCGGAAUUACUGGGCGUAAAGCGCGCGUAGGUGGUUCGUUAAGUUGGAUGUGAAAUCCCCGGGCUCAACCUGGGAACUGCAUCCAAAACUGGCGAGCUAGAGUAUGGUAGAGGGUGGUGGAAUUUCCUGUGUAGCGGUGAAAUGCGUAGAUAUAGGAAGGAACACCAGUGGCGAAGGCGACCACCUGGACUGAUACUGACACUGAGGUGCGAAAGCGUGGGGAGCAAACAGGAUUAGAUACCCUAGUAGUCC